GGAGGCCCACAGUGGUUCAGCGGCAAAAUACUUGUUUUCUGUACCGAAGGUUCCAGGUUCAAUCCCUGCUGUCUCCA